rnacentral:rRNA from 1 species
CCUACGGGCGGCAGCAGUGGGGAAUAUUGGACAAUGGGGGCAACCCUGAUCCAGUCAUGCCGCGUGUGUGAAGAAGGCCCUCGGGUUGUAAAGCACUUUCAGUGAGGAAGAACGCCUGGUGGUUAAUACCCAUCAGGAAAGACAUCACUCACAGAAGAAGCACCGGCUAACUCCGUGCCAGCAGCCGCGGUAAUACGGAGGGUGCGAGCGUUAAUCGGAAUUACUGGGCGUAAAGCGCGCGUAGGUGGCUUGAUAAGCCGGUUGUGAAAGCCCCGGGCUCAACCUGGGAACGGCAUCCGGAACUGUCAAGCUAGAGUGCAGGAGAGGAAGGUAGAAUUCCCGGUGUAGCGGUGAAAUGCGUAGAGAUCGGGAGGAAUACCAGUGGCGAAGGCGGCCUUCUGGACUGACACUGACACUGAGGUGCGAAAGCGUGGGUAGCAAACAGGAUUAGAUACCCCAGUAGUC